AGGACUAACGCUGGCGGCGUGCCUAACACAUGCAAGUCGAACGAAGUAGCAAUACUUAGUGGCAGACGGGUGAGUAACACGUAGUCAACCUGCCCUUCAAUGGGGGAUAACUAGCCGAAAGGUUAGCUAAUACCGCAUACGAUCUCUGAGUGGCAUCACUCGGCGAUGAAAGGAGUAAUCCGUUGAAGGAGGGGACUGCGUCCCAUUAGUUAGUUGGUGGGGUAAUGGCCUACCAAGACUCCGAUGGGUAGCUGGCUUGAGAGAGCGACCAGCCACACUGGAACUGAGACACGGUCCAGACUCCUACGGGAGGCAGCAGUGAGGAAUUUUCCGCAAUGGGGAAACCCUGACGGAGCGACGCCGCGUGUGGGAAGAAGGCCUUGGGUCGUAAACCACUGUCGAGGGGACGAUAUUGACGGUACCCUGGAGGAAGCCCCGGCUAACUACGCGCCAGCAGCCGC
rnacentral:rRNA from 1 species